rnacentral:rRNA from 1 species
UACGUAGGGUGCAAGCGUUAAUCGGAAUUACUGGGCGUAAAGCGUGCGCAGGCGGUUAUAUAAGACAGAUGUGAAAUCCCCGGGCUCAACCUGGGAACUGCAUUUGUGACUGUAUAGCUAGAGUACGGCAGAGGGGGGAUGGAAUUUCCCGCGUGUAACGACGUAGGUAAAGUAAAGUCGGUACGGUAAGUAAUUAGUCGGGACGGGGAAACGGAAACCCGAACCGUAGGUCGGGAACGGGAACGGAACUAACCCCUUCCCCGGGUCGGGACCUUGGUUAACCUUGGAA